GUUUCCUUCGGGGGCAUACAAUAAAAUUAAAAUGAUACAAGGACGAUUAGCUGGCCCAUGUGCAACGAUGGCACGCACCAAUUAAAUAUACUAGUCAUCAAC